CUUUGGGGACAUUUGAUAAAAUCAUGAUAAAAUUGGAACAAUAAUACAAAGAAGAUUAGUAUGACCCCUGUGCAAUGAUGACACGCACAAAUCGACCUUUUCAGUAUUAUU
rnacentral:snRNA from 1 species